GAAGAAUGACUUUCAAUAGGUUAUUUUAUCAAUUUUUGUUUUACUCUAUUGAACCUGUUGCAUGUCAGAAUUCCAGGGAUACGUCGAGUGCCAACAAGUUGGAUAGGUUUAUUGUGUUUCUAAUGGUAUUCUACAGGUUUUUCUGGAAACUAAUUCCCUACUAUUGAAGAAAAUCUUGGAAAGGGCUGGGAAAUUCCAUGGAGUAUUUAUUCUCGCUGUGGAAUUUAUUUUCCAACUUUUAAGAGUCAUGCCAGGUUCAUAUUUCACACACACACAUAUAUAUAUAUAUAUAUAUAUAUAUAUAGGGAAGGGAAUGCAUUAGCUGACCAUUUUGCAAAUCAGGCAUUUCAUAUGGCGGGUAAGCUGGUAUAUAGCUCGUUUGGAGACCUACAUUUACAUGGAAAAAGACUUCUUAAUCUUGACAAGCAACAAUGUUCGACACUCAUGAUCAAGACAAGAUGAAUAAACAGAUGCGACUGAAGAAUUUGCACGUGCAGAUGAGUAGUAGAGUGAUACUUCUUUUCAAUUUAAUAUAUUGGUAUGGUGCUAUAUUCUCAGAACGGUAGCUAUGUCCAGACAUGGUGAUAGACGUACACUUGACAUGCUCAACCACUUAGUUCAUAGAUUCACAUUGAGUAAUGUCAGAUUAGAUCCUAAGCUGGUUCAAGGUUAUUUGAAUUUUGCAAGUUCCUAGUUUAUUCAUGAUGUAAAAGAAAUUAUUUGGCAUUGUUAUUAAUAAAAUUAGCCACUACGUACCUGCCUAGUGGGAUAUUCGAUAAAAAAAAUGAUGGAAAAACACUGUUAGAUCUCAUAGACUUAGAAAAGGAGACACUUUUGCUAUUUGGACUAUCAUAAGUUUCAAUAAAAAGCCUUAGUGCUGGAUUUUAAAAACAGUUAUCCUUUAUUAUAAAAAAUGCAAUUUUUGUGUAAUUUUAGCUGUUUUAUAUGAGACAUGCUAUGUUUUAUUAUCUUUUUACAGAUUUCCCUGAAAUCUCACUAGUUGAAUAAUGAUUGAGAGAUUGACUGAAGGGGUAACUUCACAGCUGUGGCCUAGUAAUAAGAAUUUUUGCCGAUUCCUUUAGCUCAGCAUUGCUCUAAAUACAGUGAUAAUGAUGAUUAUGAAGUGUUUUUUUGGGUAAAAUUCAUAGUUCAGUGGAUGUUGUGAAUAUAAUUUUUAUGAUCUCCUUUGCCUUGUAUAUUGCAGGUAUGGUGGAAUCUAUGUUGACUCUGACAUCAUAGUGUUAAACAUUGUCCUCACUUAAUAAUACUGUUGCAUUUGAGAAUGACCUACGUGGAACUCUGAAUGGUGCUGUAAUGGCAUUUAGAAAGCACAGGUAAUUAUUUCUAUGCCUGUUCUCCUCUUCUCUCACUCAAUAUAAAAUCUCAUUUAAGACUUUCAUAUAUCAUCAAAACUACAUAUAUUAAGAAACAAUUUACUUCGUACAAUCCAAGAUUCAGAAGAUUUAAGUACUUGUGCAAAAUUGAAAGCUUAAUACAUCUGAAAUAUGUAUGUAAUCAACCAACAAUCGUACAUGAGCGGAUGGUUUGUUUCCACCUAGUGACAAUUACUGACAAAUUGAAGCCUUAUUUUUCUAAGUGUUGAAAGAGCAUCUUCCAUGCUAUUUCUUGCAUCAGGUUUCGCUAAAGUGCAACUCAAGGCUAAUUCCAUGAUAGAUACCAUACACUGCAUCUUUGUGUCGGUUUUUUCAUUCCCUGCCCGUACCAAAUUAGCAUCUACCACCUUAUGAAUUUCACUUGGAAAAGAAUUACUAACCCCAACAUCGUAUGCUCAAGUCUCCGGUAAAUGCUUCAUCACUUGGUCUCAUUCUUGUAAGCGUCUCCAUCAUCAUAAUGCCAAAACUAUAAACAUCGCAGCUCAUGGAUGCUAUUCCAUCUUGUCCAUACUCUGCAAUCAUGGUCGAAUAUGAUAAGAAAAGCUUCCUAGUUAUGGAGGAAUAUGCUAAAACUUUGAGUAUCAAACUAUUUCCCGGAGGAAAGAACUAUUUUGGGUAUUCUAAGGAUAUGAAGAAACUUUAAAAAGUUGUAUUACCCGGAGCAAUGUAUCCAAUGGUUGCAAUAGUCCUUGUUUGGACAGAAUUCUCCUUUGCACCUAGCAAUUUGGCAAUGCCAAAAUCACUGACAUGGCCAAUCAUGUCUUGAUCUAGCAAGACAUUGCUUGGCUUCAAGUCACAAUGCACCACAGGUGUUGAAUACCCAUUGUGGAGAUAGUCUAAUGCUGCAGCCACAUCUAUCAUUAUAUUCAAUCGCUGUAAUAAGUCCAAGAAUAAGUUGUGAGAGUAUAACCAUUUAUCAAGUGUCCCAUUGGGCAUGUAUUCCAAAAUUAGGGCUUUGAAAUCAAGGUUGGAGCAGCUGGUGAUGACUUUGGCCAGAUUUCUGUGGCGAAGGUUCCGAAGCAUCUCACAUUCUGUGUCAAAACUUUUGAAUGCACCCUCCAAUUGCACUUUGAAUACCUUUGCUGCCAAAAGAGUACCAUCCUUUAGUGUCCCUUUGUAGACCAUGCUGAAACUCCCAUUACCAAGCAAGUUGCUUUCAUCGAAUCCUUCGGUUGCUUGUUCAAGUUCAUAAUAGGAAAUUCUUUCAUGUCCUUUUAAAUUCACCAGAGGCGAAUCUGCUUGACUUGCAUUCUUCUUCAUCUUUCGCAACCUCAAAAAUACAUAAAAGAGGGCUAAUGCAAUAGAUACUAGACCCACUCCCAAAACGAUAGACAAAACCAAAAUUUUCUUUUUCCUCCUGGGAGAUUUGGUGACGCAUGGUGGCACGUGAAAUUUAGACUCACCGCAAAGUGCAUCAUUGGCCAAGAAAGAUUGACUUUUGGCAUUUGCGAAAGGACCACCGCUGGGAAUUUCUCCACUAAGUUUGUUGAACGAGAAGUUCAGGUACUUGAGAUACACAAGAGCUUCUAAUGACUUUGGAAUUUCACCAGUAAGAUUGUUAUAGCACAAGUCCAAAAAUUCCAAGGCGAACAUUUUUCCAAAUGAAUUUGGAAUAGGCCCAUCUAAUCUAUUAUAUGCUAGAGAAAGUUUGAUCAAUCUAUCCAGACCCACUAGAGUGUUAGGGAUCUCACCAGAAAAAUUAUUUUUGGAUAGAUCAAUGAGUGUUGCAGCCUUUAUAUUUCCAAACUCCAGAGGAAUUUUCCCACUUAAUAAAUUGGAUGUAACGUUGAGUUCUACGAGAUCUUGUAGGCUUCCUAAACUUGCAGGUAAUUUUGAAUUCAGCCUGUUAUAAGCUAGAUAAAGAUUCCUCAAACUGGUGAUGUUCCCUAAGCAUGGAGGCACUGAACCAGAAAGCUGAUUUUCCGACAAGUCUAAUGCACCAAGAUUCUUUAAAGUGCAAAUAACAUCUGGUAUGGUUCCUUCUAUCUUGUUUCUUUGUAGGUAAAGUUGUUGUAGAUUCAACAUGCGUUGGAUAGUUUUUGGAAUAUGUCCAGUCAACUCAUUGUUAAGCAUAUUUAUCCUUGUCACUCCAGUAAGAUUACCAAUUUCUUCAGGAAUAAUUCCCUUUAGUUUACAAGCAUAGCUUUCAAAAAUGUGCAGAGAGUCGGAGAAAUUUCCAACAAAUGUAGGAAAAAACCCAUGAAGGGGAUUCUCAGAUAAACCUAUUACUCUUAGUUUCCUACAGUUUGACAAUGAUGUCAAGAAGCUCAAUGUUGAAUCGCUGUAAAAAUUAUUAUACUGCAAGUUCAAAAACUCAAGAUGUUCUAAGUUACCAAGUGAUUUAAGAAUUGGACCUGUGAAACUGUUGGCACUGAGAUCAAGUUUUCUGAGUCUUGAAGAAUUUGAGAUAGAAGCAGGAAUAAAGCCACUCAGAUUAUUCGUCGCACAAUUGAAUUCUACAAGGCUGGGCAUUCUAUGGCCUAAAUCUGAAGGUAGAGUACCUAAAAGCCUGUUUCCAUCAAAUGAUAGGUACUGCAUUGCUGACAUGUUGAAAAUGCUUGUAGGGAUGGAACCAAUAAAUUCAUUCCCGAAUAAUCCCAGCAACUGUAGUUUCUUAAGAUUACCUAGCUCCACUGGUAUCUCUCCUAUCAAGUGAUCAAGGGAAAUAUAUGAGUACCAAUCUUAGCGGAAAUGAGAAUAUUAUAUUUGAGAUUUAUUAUAAGGAAAUAUCAUAUUACCUUCCAAAUGCAUAUCUCCAAGAUAUAAUUCUGUAAGAGCUGUUAAGUUGGCUAUCUCUUUUGGCACAGCUCCAAUGAAAUCAUUGCCAGACAAUGACAACAUUUGAAGCUUUCUGCAUUUUUCUAAGUUUGGUGGAAUAAUGCCAUCUAGAUAGUUGUAUGAGAUGCCAAACUUUUCCAAGUUUGGAAGGUGGUCACAUAUCGCUGUUGGAAGCUUACCAGUAAGAUUGUUGUAGGUGAGACCAAUCUUUUGCAUUGAUGUAAUGUUAUAGAUUGAUGGCGGUAUAGAGCCAGUGAGCCGGUUGAAUUGCAGGUUUAUGAAAGUCAUAUGACGAAGAUCACCGAGUACUCGAGGGAUCACUCCUUCGAGAAAGUUUUCCUUUAGCGUCAACACCUCCAGCUUUGUUACAUUGGAAAGGGAAGAUGGAAUUUUCCCUGAAAAUUGGUUGCUCGAAAGGUACAUGUAUCGGACGUUAGAUAACGAACUUAAAAAUGGUGGGAUGGCACCAGUGAAGUUAUUGAUUGUGACAUCAAUCAGUUUCAACCUCUGCAAAUGAGCCAAUUCUUCUGGCAACUCCCCAUGGGAAGUGUUGUUACUGAUGUCGAGAGAAACAAGAAAUGAGAGGUUUCCUAGAUGCGGAGGAAUGGUACCAUGAAGUUGCAUGCUAGAAAUGUCUAAAGCUGUGACUCGAUGGUGGCGAGAGGUGCAAGUGAUGCCAAUCCAGCUACAAACUGGGCUGGAAGAAGACCAGUUGCUUUGUAACAAGUUAUUAGGAUGAGAAGAAAUGUGAGAUUUCAGGGAAAGAAGAGCUGCUUCAUCAGUUUUAAUGUUGGGAACAGUAGCCAGUGAAGUAUGGUGAUGCAACAGAAUGAAAACUGCAAGAGCAAACAAGAGAUGGCAACUUCUGCCCAUAACUAUAGCAUGCAUUUUUAUGUUUUUCCUAAAACAACUAUGGAUAUGGCAAAGCAUUAAUCUUAGAUUGUCUAUUUAUGGAAGUGGUCCAGCCCUUCCCCGCGCAUAGCGAAAGCUUAGUGCACGGAAGCACAGAAAUGCCCUUUUUGUCUAUUUAUAGAAGUGGGCUACAGGCACAUUUCUCUUUUGCCUUAUUGAGAUGUGCCAAAAACGUCAACCCCGGAUGCCCUUUCUUUUUCUGUGGCACUAAAUUUAUAAGUUGACUAUUUAAUGAUUUCAAACUCAUGAUUAAGACUUAAAGAGUGUCAAUUUUAUGAGUAUUAUUGCAAGCUGUAUUAGUGAAAGUCGGUCAACUUGUACUGUGUGGGCUGCUGAUAGUUGAGGACUAGAAAACUGCAAUAUGGCAUUGAACGACCCUUAUCAUUUGUGCAACAACCCACUAGUCAUUACAACGUAUAGGGAAAAAUUUUAUUUUGUGCUUCACACAACUGACGCUAGUUAUAUGAGACCUCUUUUCUGUCUCACAACCUUGUGGUCCCAGAAUUUUGUGGACCCAAAUAUGUAAGAUAUGAGUUCACAAAUGUGUGUAAUAAAAAAAUGUUUCUAAUGUCAGUUGUGUGACACACAAUAAAAUCACUCACGUACAGCAAACUAAUACUUGUACAACUUAAUUGUGCAAAAGAAGAUAAAAGAUGAAACAGAUGGGAUGAUUUUGACAAAUAGCCACUUUUUAGGCUGCUAAUGUAGAAUUAUUUGUUUGGUUUACAUCAACCUUGCAAACCAUCUUUCCAAUUGUUGAAUAACUUGAUUAUUUACACAUUAGUCUUCAAAAUAUAUGAGCAUCUGAAACAAACUACACAUAGACAAUUCUCUUUCAUAGGUAUGACAAUGGGUCCUUGCAGAUGACCGGGCGAGGCGAGUUUAGACACAUGCAGGGCGGUGUUGGUUCACACAGCAUAUGAGACGAAAACGCUGUACUAGUCAGCUAGAUAAGUUCUUCAUGUACGAAUCUGGACACCAUCAUAGAGUUUACUUGUAUAAGUUUUGAAUUCCAUGACACUGUAUUGGACAGAUGGUUUUGCCUUUUCCUAAAAAAAAAUGGAUAUGGCACAACAUUGAUCUUAGUCUAUAGGGAUGGCGAUGAGGCAGUGCGAGUGCAGGGUGGUGCAGGUUCAAAUCCCGACACAAAAUUAAGAAAGAGAUGAAUCUAUUGACCAAAAUAACAUAUCUUUCUUAGUCUUCUUUCCCGCAAUGGAAUGAGCACAACAAAGUACUAAUACCACCAUUAAAAGAAAAAAAACUAAAAGAAGAUAUCUUUCGAAAAAUAUUUAUUUCAAGGGUAUAUCUUAUAAUUUUUAUUACCCAAAAUGUCAUAUCUUUCUUAGGCUUCCUUCCCCCAAUGGAAUGAGCACAACAAAGUACUAAUACCACCAUUUAAAGAAAAAAAAACUAAAAGAAGAAGUGCCAAAGUACAAGUUACAUCAUAAUCUACAUUGUAUCUCUAACAAAUCUCAUAAACCCGUCAAGGUUGGGAGGAGGUUGUGUUGGUGGUGGUGGAAAAGAAUGUUGUUCAUCACCACUUCCGGGCGAAGCCGAAUCCUCCGCCAAGUUCCGCUAUCAUUUCUUCAUAAACUUCAUCUAUCGACAGUUGUGAUUCUACAAUUCCAAAGUUUCUUCUUUCCGCGCGGAUCCAAUCUCUAAAAAGUACCGAUUUUUCCAAGCUAUCCCCCAUCGACGCUCUACGAUCACCUAUUUGCAGUCUUGCUUGACUGAAAGCGCUCUCCGAGUCAACAGUUGAAGCUUGAAUUAAUUAAAUAUCCCGAGACAUCCUUGCAAGAACCGAAAAGUGUUUUUCCCUUGGCUUCCACCAUUCCAAAAGAUCAAAAAAGCUGUAUGGAUUCUCCUUUUCAAGUCCCUGAGACAAGUAAACUUGAAGCUCAUUUAAAUGGGAUGUUUCAUCAUAAUUAUCACCCUGAGAACCUCGUAACUCCGUCCAAGAUUUAAGAGUUGUUUAAGCCCGCAUCUCUUUUAGACGAUUGUGAGUUAGACGAAGUCGGGGUUGGUAUAUUUGGCCUAGCAUGCUCUAAGGCAAGUUGAUAAGCAUUAUAAAUUGUUUGAGCAUUAAUUUUAACAUAUGCUUUUGUAUCUACAAGUGUAGCAACUUCCUCGUUGAACGAUCCAAAGCCUUAUAAAUAUUUGAAUACUAAAAUUGAGGACCUCCCACUUUCAUUGUAGGAUUUAACAUUGCAGCAACACAAAAAAUAGGAGGGAUAGGAAAGAAAUAUAUUUUAAAUUUUUGUUUCAUUUCAUUUAUAGCAAGCUCAUAAAUAUCCCCACCCUAGCCAACCAUCGCCAAAUUCAACAAACAAAUUAGCUAGUGCGGCAAUAUAAACUAAACAGUUUGAAAUAAUAGGAUAAUAUUGCCCAUAAAAUGCAUUUGUAGCAACUUGAAAAUGUUCUAAUAAAUCUAAAACAAUUUUAACAUUCGUCCAAUCUUGGGUAGUAAGCAUUUCAUCAUCAUCCUCACCGCCUACCCGAGAAUUAAACGUUGCAUUAAUUGGGUUUCUAUAUUCAUACACUACUACUAAACUUUCGUACAUGUAAGUCCACCUAGUCGGGCAAGGUUUAGGAACCUUUCUUUCUCUAGUGCAACUACUAAACUUUCGUACAUACAAUUCCAUCUAGUGGGGCAAGGGUUUAGGAACCUUUCUUUCUCUAAGGCCAUAUUCAUCACAAUUCUUUAAAAUACUCUCUAAGUCUAGUUCUACGGUUUGAAUAAAAAAUCCAAUUAAGAGCCAUUCGAACCUUUUCAAUUUCUAUGUUUAAAAUUCGCAUACCAUCUCCGACAAUUAAAUGAUAAAUAUGACAAAUACAUCUAACAUAAUAAAUAUUAGUAAAUGCAGGAUUUAAGCAUGCCUAUAGCACUAGUGUUACUAGAAGCAUUAUCCAUAGAAAUUGCCAUUAUUUUCUCGCUAAAGCAAAAAUAUCUACAAAUAUCUGAAACAGUGUUAGCUAUAAACUUACAUGUGUGACGUGAAUUAAUUAUUCUAUACGCAAUUAUACGUUUUNNNNNNNNNNNNNNNNNNNNNNNNNNNNNNNNNNNNNNNNNNNNNNNNNNNNNNNNNNNNNNNNNNNNNNNNNNNNNNNNNNNNNNNCAGUUAGAUAAUCACAAUCAUUACCACUUCUACCAAUAUCAGUAGUAAUAGAAAUUCGAUUAGGUAUAUGAGUAAAUAAAUAGCACAAAUAUUGUUCACAUUCAUGUUUGAAUUUAUAAAUAUUUGCCUUAACUAUUGCGCGAGACUAAUCUUUAUAAGUAGGAUUAAAAACUCUUCUAAUAUAAUGAACCCAAUUAGGAUUAGAAGCAANNNNNNNNNNNNNUUAAGAACUCUUCUAAUAUAAUGAACCCAAUUAGAAUUAGAAGCAAAAGUAUAAGGUAAGCACAUAACAGUAAUCGUCUUUGCUAAUUCUUCACGAUCUAAAUACCUCCGGUGACAGUGUUAAUUCCUGGUUGAACUGGAUUUGAACCUGUACUAGGGUUAACCGCAGAAUCUACACUUGUCCCCUCUUGCUGCGCUUGCUUUUGCAAAAAUCUAGCCUUAUCUCUAGGGUGUGUUUUUAUGUGCCUAGUCAAACUACCCGUGCCACUACAGUCUCUAGUAAAUUUAUGAACCAGUAAUUUCCCACAAGUUUUACACUUAGCCUUAUUUCGUUCUCUUACUUGAGUAAAAAAAUCCAAACUAACGAUGUUUCUUGACGUUUAGCAGGUUGUCUAUUAAAAGUUGGAGUUUCUACAGGUGGG
rnacentral:lncRNA from 1 species